AUUGAACGCUGGCGGCAGGCCUAACACAUGCAAGUCGAGCGGAUGACGGGAGCUUGCUCCUUGAUUCAGCGGCGGACGGGUGAGUAAUGCCUAGGAAUCUGCCUGGUAGUGGGGGACAACGUUUCGAAAGGAACGCUAAUACCGCAUACGUCCUACGGGAGAAAGCAGGGGACCUUCGGGCCUUGCGCUAUCAGAUGAGCCUAGGUCGGAUUAGCUAGUAGGUGAGGUAAUGGCUCACCUAGGCGACGAUCCGUAACUGGUCUGAGAGGAUGAUCGGUCACAGUGGAACUGAGACACUGUCCAGACUCCUACGGGAGGCAGCAGUGGGGAAGAUUGGACAAUGGGCGAAAGCCUGAUCCAGCCAUGCCGCGUGUGUGAAGAAGGUCUUCGGAUUGUAAAGCACUUUAAGUUGGGAGGAAGGGUUGUACGUUAAUACCGUGCAAUUUUGACGUUACCGACAGAAUAAGCACCGGCUAACUCUGUGCCAGCCGCCGCCGUAAUAC
rnacentral:rRNA from 1 species